UACGAAGGGGGGCUAGCGUUGCUCGGAAUCACUGGGCGUAAAGCGCACGUAGGCGGCUUUCUAAGUCAGGGGUGAAAUCCUGGAGCUCAACUCCAGAACUGCCUUUGAUACUGGAGAGCUUGAGUCCGGAAGAGGUGAGUGGAACUCCGAGUGUAGAGGUGAAAUUCGUAGAUAUUCGGAAGAACACCAGUGGCGAAGGUGGCUCACUGGUCCGGUACUGACGCUGAUGUGCGAAAGCGUGGGGAGCAAACAGG
rnacentral:rRNA from 1 species